GGGGCCGUUUCUAAAGAAAUUAGGUAGGCUUGCUAUUUCUAACAUGCUUCUAAGAGGGUGGAGGCGUUCGCUCUAGAAUAUGCCGCUCUAAAAUAUGCCGCUCUGGUAUGAGGAUUAUUUUGAGCUGAAGGCAACUGAAGAGCAGCACACUCAAGGGAAUAUCUAUAAAUGGAGUGCACAGUUCUCUCCUCCUAGGACUGGGCUGUAGCUUAGGGCUGUAGCACGCCCUUAGCAAUGCCGGA
rnacentral:lncRNA from 1 species